rnacentral:snoRNA from 1 species
UUCAAUGAUGAACCCCAGAUAGGGACAUCUUACGUCUAUUGACAUGUGAUGAGAACCUUGGGCCAAGAAUUUUAGUAGAUUUUUGUUGUCUGAAC